GGAAAGAAGCUGUGGUUAGGGAACAGAACCUUAUACACUUCUCUUAUAGGACUAAGUGAGGUCAAGGCCUCUCUCAGAACUAAGACAAAAGGUAGUGUGCCUUGUUUUAUUCCUCUUGGCAGCAUGUGCACUCUCUUCAAGCUGCUGAACAGACCACUUCUUUGUUAAAAAACAGUGCCCAGAAAGAGCCACGUCCUGACUGGCCCAGUUUAUCUGCCCAUCCCUAUGAAAAGCCAACUUUUCGGUGUUCUUGCUUUUGCCAUUUCUCUCAAUGUCCUUUUCCUCUGAAGGCCAGCUGUUUUACACAGCCUUGUGAUCUGGAGUAAACAAUUCCUUCUCUUGUGUCCACUAAGGAAUUCUGAUGGGCAUGGGGGAUAACAGGUACAUGGGUAUGAGGGUGGCCAGUAGUAGGGGAGGCAAGUAAUACGAAUCACAGAAGCCAAAGUGAGGUCACUGGAAGGAAUGUCUGGUUAAAGUGAAGUAGGUUAUAGAUCUGAACAUUAAUUUUAUUUCAGGAUUUUUUCAAAGUCCCUCUAAACUCCUGAAAUGUACAUAACAUAACAUGACAAAAGACAAUGGAAAGAGCCCUGGAUUUGGAAUAGACAAUUUGGGCUCCAGUCCUGGCUCUGCUCCUAAUAACCUCUGUGACCUUUGGCAAGGUAUUCAAUCUCUAGGGGUCUCAAGUCUCUUCUGUAAAACAGGGUAUCAGACCAGUUUGGUGUUUUGUUUUGUUUUUUCAGUUUUAAAUCUAUAAUCCUAAGAAUCCCAGAGAAGUCUAAGAAUGGAAAAAGUCCCAGCCACCAUCUUAACCAUGGCUCCCAUCUUUAGAGAUAAGAGAAAGCGGCACAGGAAUUCUAGUAGAAGGGAUUCAGAGCAAUUUUUUUUUUUUUUUGCAGACUUAGAAACAAUGAUUUUGUAAGAAACAUUCAGAACAUUGUCCAGAAGAAAGCAGCAGCCAAAAGGGCUAAGGACACACUAUGCUUUGGUUUGCCAACAGGUCUGGCCCUUUCAAGCAUUAAUUCAGAGGUUUGUAAUGAAAUGGAUUCUGAGAGAAAAACGCGGAGCUUACACAGCUAUGUGCCUCCACUCCACCAUCUUGGCCGGAAGUCUGAGAAUCAUUUCUUGGUGUAAAGGUUGUCAGAGCUCAACAAAGCAUGCAAACUUUGUGAUGGAACUAUGCAAAUGCCAAGUUUAUGACUUUAAACAAUCUUAUAAUCCAGGUUCUUUGAAGGAUCUAUAUUGAGACAGCCCAAGAUCCUGAACCCAAGAGUUCUGGAAUAAUAAUGCUUCCAGCCUACUUGCCCUCAACUCAUUAUCCUGGAAAAUGGUCACUGUGGAGAUGCAGCCUGGCAACUGCUCCUGUAAGAAGUUCAGCCAUACUUACUGAAGAUCCAGAGAAGAAAGUUCUUGUCACCAAAGUCCUUAACUCUAUCAAAUGGUUCAACAAUAGAAACUGAUAGGAUUUUAUCAAUGUACAUGAUAUUAAAGAAAAAAAAAUCACCAUCUGUUUUGAUGUACCUUAAGAACCAUGUGACCUUCUCAGCUGACUUUAACUAAUAUUUUCUAUCAGGGCCAUCUCCAGUCGUCCUGAUCCAUAUCUGGCCACUGGACCCAGAUGGUUCUAGAGAAGAAGGUGAGGCAGGUGACCUUGUACAGCCCUCCUUCACUUAAAUUCAAUUCAUUUGCAUGUUAUAGAAUCAUCUCUUUGAUGUCAUAGUCCUCUUGGAGAAUGAGGGACAAAUAACAUUUUCUAUACAUGUCAUCUCCUCCAUUAGAAUGUGAGCUCCUUGAAAUCAGGGGCUAUCUAACUGUUCUUAGAACACAAGGCUUUGCACUGUGGUUGAGUUAGUUCUGUCUGAAUCUUUGUGACCCCAUUUGGGGUUUUCUUGGUAAAGAUUCUGGGGUGGUUUGCCAUUUUCUUCUCCAGAUCAUUUGUCAGAUGAAGAAACUGAGAUAAACAGGGUAAAGUGACUUACUCAGGGUCACCCAGCUACUAAGUGGAAAUAGAUUGGAACUCAGCUUCUUCUGACUCCAGGACUUGUACUCUUAUCCUCUGCGCCACCUAGUGGCCAACUUUUUACAGUUUAAGUGUUUAUUAAAUAAUUAGCAUCACUACUAUAACUAAAGAAUUCUCCAUCUUACACUGAUAUAUUUACACAUACAUCAUUGAUAUAUUUAUCAGCAGUCUUUGGGUCUAGUUAUUCAAUUUUAACUUUCAACUCAUGCCCAACUCUCCCCUCUCCCUCAGUCCUCCUCUGCGGCUAUAUUUUGUCAAGCUUAACUGCCAGAACACAUCUAUUGCCUUCUUCCCACUAAUACAGCCACCAUCUUUGCUCAGGUCAAGUUCAGGGCUUCCAUUUCUUAUCUGGACUACUGUUGACUGUUAACAGUUCUCGCAGUCGUCAGUCUCUCUCCUGUUUAAUCAGUGCUUCAUGCCCUUGUCAGAUUUAUGUUCCAUUUUUAUUUGGUUUUGGGUUUUUGAACUAACCCCGUGAUUUCACUGGUAUAGGGAAUUCCUGAUGAGGAAACUCCUUCCACCAAUGCAAAGCAAAACGUGGUUUGCAAUUUAUAGUGUUAGUAAGUUUUGUGGGCCACUGAGAAGUCAAAUGAUUUGGAUGUGGAGAGAUGGAGUAAAGGGGAGGUUUGCAGUUCAUAGUCAGAAUGUGUCAGAGGGGGGAUGUGAUCCCUGACCUCCUGAUUUCAAAGACAGCUCUCUAUCCUCUGUACAUAACAGCUCUUCAUCUUCAAAUUGAAAUUCUUAAAGCACAGGUCAGACCAAGUCACUCAGAUGCUCAAGAAACUUCAGUGACUGUUUUGACUCUAGGAUAAAAUACAAACUCCUCUUUUUGACUUCAAAGCCUUCGACUCCCACUAUUUUUCCAGAAUUAUGAUACCUUACUCUUCAUGCACUCUCUGCUGUAAACAACCCGGCCUUCAUGUUGUUUUCCAGCAUUCCAUUUUAAAUAUUUCAAAGUUGCCCCUGACUCGCUCCUUGCUGGAAAGUUACAGAAUCCUUAGCUACUUUCCAAGUUCAGCAGAAGAGUUAUUUCCCACAUAUAGUGCAGCCUGAUUUCUUUCCUCCCUCUCCUCUAGUUGCUAAAAUCCUGUUUCUAGAAAUUACUUUGCACAUAUUUUUCAUUUAAUUUCCUAAUUAUACUAUUUCCCCAAUAGAAUAGAAAGUCUUUAGGUAAAAGUCCAUUUUUUUUUUUUUUUUUUUUUUUUGCUUUUUCUUCAUGCCUAGUAAAGCACCUAGCAUAUAACAGGCCCUAAAAAUAAUCACUGAAUAAGUGAAUGAAUGUAUUACCAUCUAGCUCUCUUUUCUUUUCUUCCUCUUUUCUGUGAAUAUAGCCAGGACUAAUUUUGUCAAAUGCUUCAGCGACUGAGUUAAAGGCAAUCAAGUGCAAUAGCAGAAACAACUGGUUUUAGGAGUUUGGAGAGGUAUAUAUUCAAACCCCAACUAUGAUAUUUGCUAGCUAAAAGAUAAUAGGCAAGUGGCUUAAAUUCUCUGAGCUUCAGGUUCUUCUUUCCUGUAAAACAGAUGUGAGAAUCAUCUAUACCACAAGGUUAUGGGGCUCAAAUGCCAUGAGGUACAAGGGAAUCAUAAGUAUACUUUGAAGUGUCAUAUAAAUAUCAUCUAUUAUUAGAAGUGACAUCCAAGUGUUCUGUUUCUAUGGCAUCCUCUUAGUCUACUCUGAUCAAAAAGGAAAGAUUAGUGGUUUUAAUGAACCCCAAUUGAGUUCUCUUCUACACAGCAUCGUCAACACUGAAUUCACAACCUUUUUCAUAUUAAUGGUAGGUAAAAAUUGGGAUUCUUAAUACAUUGUUGUAGAUGCUUUGAAGAUAUAAUCAGAUCUGGAAUCAACCACCUGGCUUGAGCAUUAAAAGCAGUACUUGGUAUAACAGGAUGAGAGUGAAUGGUGAUACACAUGAAUAUUUCAAGAGGCAUCUUUUCAGAUUGGUUGAGGUGAAAAACAAACAAAUAAACAACACUCCCCUUUCCCUCCCUCCCCCACCCCUGCCCAAGGUAGUGUUAGCUAAAAGCAAUACCCCCAUUUUGUGUUCCAAGUUACUUUGUACUCCCAAAAUACUUUCACAUAUCUCUUACCGGAUUUCUUGCAUGGCAUUCCUGAUAUGUGAGGAAAGGGCAUUCUUUUUCUUACGAAACAGAUAGAGAAAUUGAGGCUCUGAGAAGGAAGGAUCCGACCAGUGCCUAAUACUAUUUUUCUAUACAACUACAACACUAAGAGAACAGUCUAUUUGAGGUCCUGAGUAGAAUACAUCCAGGAAAAUAGAUCAUGAAGCAGGGAAAGCACUGGACUAGAAGGUAAGAGAUGGUAAUUCUAACCCUUGCUCUACCACUAAUUUGUGGUAUGAUACUAAAUAAAUCACUAUUCAACAUAUUACAGCUGUGGGGCAAGUCACUUAACUUCAUUCUGCCCCAGGCCACCUUUCAAACUACAAGGUAUCAAAGAGUUGCUGUUCUAUUUUAUUAAAGGAAGUUCCACACACAUAUGAAAUCAUAGGCCUAGAUUAAAAAAAAAAAAAAAGCCUGUUCUCUACCUGGAUAUCCUAUAGGCAUUUAAAAAUUCGAUAUUUAAAUAUAAUGAGAUGGAAUUUAUUAUAUUUCCUGCUAAAACAAAGAAAGGUAAAAGACAUCAUCUGCUCUUAAGGAGCUAAUGGGGGAAAAUAUGAAAAUAACUAUGCACAAACAGGAUAAACUGAAGGUAAACUCAGAGGACAGAAACUAAAAUCAUGGGGGAUUGGGAAAGGUUUCCUGAAUAAGGUGAAGUUUUAAUUGGUACUUAAAGGAAAGCGGGGAAAGCAGAAGGCAGGGAUGAGGAAGAACAAACAUUCCAGACAUGGCACACAGACAGUCAGCGAAAAUGCCUAGAAUUGGGAGAUGUAAUAUCUUAUUUGAGAGGCCAGUGUUACUGGAUGACAAGAGAGUGGCAUAAGGUGUAAAAAACUGGUGAUGUUGGGGGGCAGGUUAUGAAAGGCUUUGGCGCCCUGAACAUGGGACUGAUUCAGAUCCUGAUCCAGUGGAAAAGCCUCUGAUCCUGAAUCCAGUGGAAAAGUCUCCUCAACCCAGAAAUUAGGGUGAGUACAACAAAGAAAUUUUGUUAAAAGAGUUAAAGUAAAAUUUCAUCUAAGAUGGGACAGAUAUUUAGAAAACAGCCUUGUUUCUGUUCAAGGAAAAUGUUUAGAGAGCAUUGUCAAAGUUAUGGAAAGCCAAGAUUUAAUUAUAAUUUUACAGCAGAUCACUGAACUUUUAGAAACUGUAAAACAUAUAUGUCCUUGUUUCUCUCUGGAAAAGGAAUUGGAUCUAGAUGAAUGGCAAUUAGUAGGAGAGGAUCUUUGUCAAUUCUAUAAUAAAAAUGGACUUAACUCAAUUUCCAAAGACAUACUUAAUACAUAUAAUUUAAUAAAAUUGGCUAUAAGAAGUUAUUUAAGUGUUAGAAUGAAGAAAAAGAGAGUUUUCAGAGGAAGAAGCUAUGAGGCGAGAGUUCAGCUGAAGAUUGAGAAGGCUCUCUCAGAAGCAAGACAGAUUCAAUUUGGUGCUGGCUCUGGAGGCUGUAGAAAGCAGAGGCAGAAGCAAAGGACAAAGCGGCAAGAGCUCUUGGAACCAAGCAGAGAGAUAUGCCUCUCAACUAACCGGACUAUAUUGGAGGCAAAAAAAGAUAAGAACUUUUAUCACCUGGCUGCAUUUUGGGUGAUUAUUACUUUCAACUGCAACUAAGAUUGCCUCCAGAAAAUUUCCUCGAGAAACCUUCUCCCCCAGAGAGAACCAUCAUCUUAUAUAUUUUAAAGAAGAAAAGAGCUACAGAAUGCUACAUAGAAUAUUUUAUAUUUGAUGCUAGAAGUAAUGGGGAGCUGCUCAGAUCUGCUCUUUAGAAAGAUCAUUUAGAGAGUUGAGUGGAGAAUGGACUAGAACAUGGAGAAAUUUGUGGCAGAGGGAUCAACUACAAGAUUGUAUAUAUGCAAUGUUCCCCUAGUAGAAUGUUAGCUCAUUGGGAGAAGGGAAUAAAUAAUUCCUUUUUUAUCUUGGAAUCCCCACUGUUUAGCACAAUGCCUUAUACAGAACAGAUAUUUAAUAUCACUGGCUGAA